rnacentral:rRNA from 1 species
AGUGAACGCUGGCGGUAGGCCUAACACAUGCAAGUCGAACGGCAGCACAGUAAGAGCUUGCUCUUACGGGUGGCGGGUGGCGGACGUGUGAGGAAUACAACGGAAUCUACUUUUUCGUGGGGGCUAACGUAGGGAAACUUACGCUAAUACCGCAUACGACCUACGGGUUAAAGCAGGGGAUCUUCGGACCUUGCGCGAUUGAAUGAGCCGAUGUCGGAUUUGCUAGUUGGCGGGUUAAAGGCCCACCAAGGCGUCGAUCCGUAGCUUGUAUGGGAGGCUGAUCGCCGACACUGGAACUGAGCCGCGUUCCAUACUACUGAGGCAGGGCGCAGUGUCGAAUAUUGGACAAUAGGCGCAAGCAUGAUACAGCGAGCCCACGUCGGUUAAGAAGGCCUUCGGGUUGUAAAGCCCUUUUGUUGGGAAAGAACAUCUGCUGGUUAAUAACCCGCUAUUCUGACGGUACCUAAAGAAUAAGCACCGGCUAACUUCGUG